UUCCGGGGGAUUGUAGGCUCUGCCCCUCCUCAGCUCUUACCCUCUUCUGCCGGAGGAGGGGGGGGGCCGAGGGGGUGGGGAAGAGUUCGUUGUUUGUUUACACGAUGUUUCUGCUUUGGGACAACCAUACAUCUAAUUCCUUAAAGUAGUUUUAUAUGUAAAACUUGCAAAGAAUCAGAACAAUGCCUCCACGACCAUCAUCAGGUGAACUGUGGGGCAUCCACUUGAUGCCCCCAAGAAUCCUA
rnacentral:lncRNA from 1 species